rnacentral:rRNA from 1 species
AUUAAAGUUGCUGCGGUUAAAAAGCUCGUAGUUGGAUUACGAAGUGGUGUUUAAAUGUCAUUUUGGUUUGUUUGUCUUUCGGGGCAUUCAGGUCAACUUGGCUUUUACUCACUGUUGUCAUUGUCUUUGCCCAAGGUAUAUGCCUUGUGUGCAUGGCAUUGACCUUCUAUUUUAUGGUAAUGUUGUAUCUUUCGGGGUACAUUCAUUCCAUAUAGUUUACUUUGAAAAAAUUAGGGUGUUUAAAGCAGGCGAAAAGGCUUCGGAAUAUAUUAGCAUGGGAUAAUAGAAUACGAUCUAGGUCGUAAUUUGUUGGUUUCUACGGCUUAGGUAAUGAUUGACAGGGAUAGUUGGGGUCGCUCGUAUUGAGUUGUCAGAGGUGAAAUUCUAGGAUUAACUCAAGACGAACUAAUGCGAAAACAUUCGGCAAGGAUGUUUUCAUUAAUCAAGAACGAAAGUUGGGGGAUCGAAGAUGAUCAGAUACCGUCGUAGUCUCAACUGUAAACUAUGUCGACCGAGGAUCCGGUAGCGUUACAUGGAUGACCUUCCGGGCACUCUGUGAGAAAUCAUAAGUAUUUGGAUUUCGGGGGGAGUAUGGUCGCAAGGCUGAAACUUAAAGGGAUUGACGGAAGGGCACCACCAGGAGUGGAAUCUGCGGCUUAAUUGACCCAACACGGGAAAACUUACCAGGUCCGGACACAGUGAGGAUUGACAGAUUGAGAGCUCUUUCCUGAUUUUGUGGGUGGUGGUGCAUGGCCGUUUUUAGUUGGUGGAGUGAUUUGUCUGGUUAAUUCCGUUAACGAACGAGACCUUAACCUAUUAAAUAGCUGCGCGAACCCAGGUUCUUUAACCAUUCUCUCCUUCGGGGGGGCGUGGUAUCAUUAUUUUGCUUUUCACUUUCGGGUGGGAGGUAGGGUAGUGAUAGGGCCUGAGAUGAGUUGGUGAUUUGGCUUCUUAGAGGGACUACUUGCAUCCUUAGCAAGGGGAGGUUUGAGGCAAAAACAGGUCUGUGAUGCCCUUCGAUGUUCUGGGCUGCACGCGCGUUACACUGGCGCAUGCAAAGAGUUUAAAAUUCCUGUCCCGAUGGGGUUGGGAAAUCUUUUUAAAGUGCGUCGUGAUGGGGAUAGAGCAUUGAAAUUAUUGCUCUUGAACGAGGAAUUCCUAGUAAUUGCAGGUCAUCAACCUGCAAUGAUUACGUCCCUGCCCUUUGUACACACCGCCCGUCGCUCCUACCGAUGGUUGAACCGAUGAGGACUCGGGAUGAUCUUAUUAGAUCGGUCGGUCGAAAGAUCGAUAGACUAUUAGGUCAGAACUUGUUCAAAUCUUUUUAA